rnacentral:lncRNA from 1 species
UUUCUGAUUUUAUGUUUAAUCCUUUUUUUAAUUCAUAUUAAUUUCAUUUUUAAUCCAAAAAAUAUGGGACUUUCACCAAAAUUAUUUAAAUAUUUUUCUCUUUCAUAUUUUGGAUUAAUUUUGAUAUUUUUCAUGAAUUAAAUGUUUUUGUGCAUAUUUUUAAUUGUUUAAAAAUACUUCUGACUUUUCAAAAAUCAUGAAGUUUUUUGUCUAAGGUCCUUUGACCUUGUUUGAUCUAUGAUAAAUCUCUUGUCCAUUUAUUUAGUGUUUUUG